UCAAAGGACAAAGCGGGCCACAGAGGAUGAGCAAGGCAGUCUCCUUAGUUAUGUCCCAUUCGGGAGGGGCCAACAAGUGUCCCCCUAAACCUCCCCAGCCUCUUUUGUCCACCACCCAAUUCUAGGUCCCAGGGUGGAUUGACAAAGGGACCUAUGCUGCACCACCUUCCUACACUAGGCAGUUAGUCUACUGAGAAAAAAGCCAAGUUCAGAAGCCAGCAGCUACAAUGUGCCUUGGACCCUUAAAAUCUGAGCACGGUCUCAGUUUCUGCCUUUAACUUAGUCUGAUGCUGACAGGGGAGUCACAGGGACCCCAGACCAAAGGGGAGCUGGCACUUCUGUCCUUCUAAGUAGCAGAGCCUCCCAGCUUGCCAAAGAGGGCUGACUCCAGGAAUAUCUUCUCCUGUUCACAACCAAAACUAGUUCAGGAACUUGCAGAGCUCAGAGCAAGGGGGCAGCAGUUCCUUGGACCUGGAUCAGAUCACUCUGAGGUUAUUUUAUGCUUUCAAAUACCCAGCCUGAGCUGUCCUUAAGAUCACAGAAUAAUAUCACACUCAACUCUCCCAAGAAAGGAGCAACAGAACCAGCACAGACCUCUCCAGAAGUGUGCAGAGACUAAACUACUAUCAAAUAGGAAAAUGAAGAAUUCCACUAUAAUAGUGGAUAUUUAGGACACAAAAGAAAAAGAAAAAACUGAUGUUAAAACAUCUACAAGCAAAGCUUCAGAGAAAAAGAGAGCUUGGGCAAAAAUUCUAUUCAAAUUCCUGGAACAAUGGGGAAAAAAAGCUUAAAAAUGUUUUUUAAUGAUAAAAUGAGAGCAUUGGGGGGAAAUGGAAAAUAAAUGAGAGUUAUGAUAAUGAGAAAGAACUGGAAAGAUAUUACAACAGCUUGGCACAAGGAAUAAAAUCUGUCCAAGCAACUCCCUGAAAAUUGGAAUGAACCAAAUAGAAAUCAAUGGCUCCAAGAGGCAACAAGAAAUAUUAAAAUAAAUUCAAAAUGCUUAAAAGAAACUUAGAAAAAAAACCCAUAAAAAUAAUUGCUCUGGAAAAUAAUUAAGAGAGGAAAAAAGAUAAAGAAUCUAUCUGAAUGAUAUGAUCAAAAAAAUAAAAAAGGAGCCUGGACAUCCUAUUUCAAACAAUUUUAAAAGAAGAUUGCCCAGAGUUCCUACAACUAGAUGGCAGGCAGAAAAGAGAAAGAAUCCACCAAUCACUUUCUGAAAGAAAAGCCAAAGUAAAAACUUCCAGAAAGAUGAGAGAUGAAUCAAGAGCUUCCAGAUCAAAAAAUAAAUCCUCAAGCAGUCAAAAAGAAAGAAUUCCAGGAUCCCGUCUGACUUAGCAGUCACUACCAUAAAGAAAAAGAAACAGUGGAAUAUACUAUUACAAAAGACAAAGGAUAUGGGCUCAAACACAACAAUAACCAACCAGUGAAACUGAUUAUAAUGCUAUUGGCAGCAGGGGAAGGUGGGAGUGGGGGUGCUGAGAAGGAAUGGACCUUUAAUGAAAUAGGCUUUCCAUGAAAAAGCCUUGAAGUUCAAAUAUAGCAGUGAAGAGAAACAAAAAGGUAAAAAUGAACAAUUACAUGGAAUUAAAUAGAGAUAAUUAAUCAACGAAUCAACAUUUAAACAUCCAUUAUAUGCUAGGCAUUAUCUUAAGUGCCAGGGACACAAAAAGAAGUAAAAGAUAGUUCCUGCUUUCAAGAAGUUUAUAAUCUAAUGGAGGAAAUAACAAGCAAACACAUACAGACAGCUAUUGACAAGAUAACUAGGAAAUAAUGAAGAUGAAUUUGAGGCUUCCUGUAGGAGAUGGGAUUUUAUUUGGAACUUAAGGGAGAAUUCAGAGAUCAGCAGUUAGAAUGGAGGAGGCAGAGACGGCAUGGGGAACAGCCAGAAAAAAUACUCAGAACUGGAUAGAGACGGGGGGAGGGGGGUGGGGUCUUGUUCAUAGUCAGGAGGCCAGUGGCACUAGAUCAAAAACUACCUUUGUAGUGGGAGUAUAGUAAGAAGACUGGAAAGGAAUAAGGUAUUCUAUGACAUGAAGGGCUUUGAAUGCCAAAGAAAGCAUUUCGUAUUUGAUAUUGAAGGUCACGGAAGGAGUAGGGGUGUGUGUGACAUAACUGGACCCGUGAUUUUAUCACUUUGGUGGCUGAAUGAAGGAUGGACUAAAGUGGUGAGAGACUAAAGGCAGGUAAACCACCUUAACAGGUUAUUAGUCUAGCUAUUGGGUGACGUAGGCCUGCACCAGGGAGAGGGAAAUAUCAGAAGAGGGAGAAAGGGAGUAUAUAGGAGAGAUGCUACAUGAAAUUAACAAGAAAUGCUACAGAGGUGAAAUGGACCAGAGGUCCUGAAGAGAUGAAAUGGACCAGAGAUGCCACGCUGAAACAAACCAGAGAUGCUGCAGAGGUGAAAUGGAUCAGAGAUGCCACGCUGUAACAAACCAGAGAUGCUGCAGAGGUGAAAUGGACCAGAGAUGCCACGCUGUAACAAACCAGAGAUGCUGCAGAGGUGAAAUGGAUCAGAGAUGCCACGCUGUAACAAACCAGAGAUGCUGCAGAGGUGAAAUGGACCAGAGAUGCCACGCUGUAACAAACCAGAGAUGCUGCAGAGGUGAAAUGGACCAGAGAUGCCACGCUGUAACAAACCAGAGAUGCUGCAGAGGUGAAAUGGAUCAGAGAUGCCACGCUGAAACAAACCAGAGAUGCUGCAGAGGUGAAAUGGACCAGAGAUGCCACGCUGUAACAAACCAGAGAUGCUGCAGAGGUGAAAUGGACCAGAGAUGCCACGCUGUAACAAACCAGAGAUGCUGCAGAGGUGAAAUGGACCAGAGAUGCCACGCUGUAACAAACCAGAGAUGCUGCAGAGGUGAAAUGGAUCAGAGAUGCCACGCUGAAACAAACCAGAGAUGCUGCAGAGGUGAAAUGGAUCAGAGAUGCCACGCUGAAACAAACCAGAGAUGCUGCAGAGGUGAAAUGGAUCAGAGAUGCCACGCUGAAACAAACCAGAGAUGCUGCAGAGGUGAAAUGGAUCAGAGAUGCCACGCUGAAACAAACCAGAGAUGCUGCAGAGGUGAAAUGGAUCAGAGAUGCUACAAAAGGUGAAGCAGACUAGAGAUCCUGCAGAGAUGAAAUAGAUCAGGGAGAUGCUGCAGAGAUGAAAUGGACCAGAGAUGCUGCAGAGGUGGAAUGGAAGGGCCUUGGUAUCAUACUGGAUAUAAGAAUUCUUAUUUCUACCCUAAUUACACACACAAUACGUUAUAUGCACACAUCUUCCAAAUAUAUAUACAUCACAUACGUGUACACUACACAAAUAUGCCCUCACGUAUACAAACACCAUACACAUACAUAACACGUGCUGCAUACUUACACCACACAUAACUAUGUACACAACUCACACACAGCCCACACAUUCACAUAUAAGCCCCGUGCAUGUGUGUAUAAAUUAUACACACAUUGAUAAACAUUUACAAGCACAUACAAUAUAUGUACACAUACGCUUCAUAUACACAUAUACAAAUUACACGUGCACACA